UAACUACCUGACUUACAAUCAUAUAAGCU
rnacentral:piRNA from 1 species